ACAAAAAAGCGUUCAACGAGGCCGGAACAAGAAAAUUUAACCACCGGAAGAGGUCAAACUUGGACAUCGAUCGAAGAGUUGGCGUUGGCAAGGGCGUGGACCAAUACGUCUACGUGUCCGAUCGUAGGUAAUAAUCAAAAGUCUGGCAGUUUUUGGAAGGAGGUUUGCAACAAAUUUCAUGCUUUGAUGCAAAAAGAACCAUGA
rnacentral:lncRNA from 1 species